rnacentral:rRNA from 1 species
GAGGAAUAUUGGUCAAUGGACGAGAGUCUGAACCAGCCAAGUCGCGUGCAGGAAGAAUGUCCUAUGGAUUGUAAACUGCUUUUGCAGGGGAAUAAAGUGCAUCACGUGUGAUGUUUUGUAUGUACUCUGCGAAUAAGCAUCGGCUAACUACGUGCCAGCAGCCGCGGUAAUACGGAGGAUGCAAGCGUUAUCCGGAUUUAUUGGGUUUAAAGGGAGCGUAGGCGGACUAUUAAGUCAGCUGUGAAAGUUUACGGCUCAACUGUGAAAUUGCAGUUGAAACUGGUCGUCUUGAGUGCAGUAAAGGUGGGCGGAAUUCGUGGUGUAGCGGUGAAAUGCUUAGAUAUCACGAAGAACUCCAAUUGCGAAGGCAGCUCACUGGAGUGUAACUGACGCUGAUGCUCGAAAGUGUGGGUAUCAAACA